CUACGGGGGGCAGCAGUGAGGAAUAUUGCACAAUGGGGGGAACCCUGAUGCAGAACGCCGCGUGGAGGAUGACGCAUUUCGGUGUGUAAACUCCUUUUAUAUGUCAAGAAAAUGACGGUAGCAUAUGAAUAAGCACCGGCUAACUCCGUGCCAGCGGCCGCGGUAAUACGGAGGGUGCAAGCGUUACUCGGAAUCACUGGGCGUAAAGGACGCGUAGGCGGGUUGGAAAGUCAGGUGUGAAAUCCUACAGCUUAACUGUAGAACUGCACUUGAAACUUCUAAUCUAGAGUAUGGGAGGGGGAGAUGGAAUUAGUGGUGUAGGGGUAAAAUCCGUAGAAAUCACUAGGAAUACCUAAAGCGAAGGCGAUCUCCUGGAACAUUACUGACGCUAAGGCGUGAAAGCGUGGGGAGCAAACAGGAUUAGAUACCCCUGUAGUC
rnacentral:rRNA from 1 species